rnacentral:rRNA from 1 species
UACGAAGGGGGCUAGCGUUGCUCGGAAUCACUGGGCGUAAAGCGCACGUAGGCGGAUCGCUAAGUCAGGGGUGAAAUCCUGGAGCUCAACUCCAGAACUGCCUUUGAUACUGGCAAUCUCGAGUCCGGGAGAGGUGAGUGGAACUGCGAGUGUAGAGGUGAAAUUCGUAGAUAUUCGGAAGAACACCAGUGGCGAAGGCGGCUCACUGGCCCGGUACUGACGCUGAGGUGCGAAAGCGUGGGGAGCAAACAGG